CGAACGAGUUCUCGUUGAUGAUCGGUGCUUGCACCGAGAUUCAACAUGGAACGAGUGGCGGACGGGUGAGUAACACGUGGGUAACCUGCCCUUAAGUGGGGGAUAACAUUUGGAAACAGAUGCUAAUACCGCAUAGAUCCAAGAACCGCAUGGUUCUUGGCUGAAAGAUGGCGUAAGCUAUCGCUUUUGGAUGGACCCGCGGCGUAUUAGCUAGUUGGUGAGGUAAUGGCUCACCAAGGCGAUGAUACGUAGCCGAACUGAGAGGUUGAUCGGCCACAUUGGGACUGAGACACGGCCCAAACUCCUACGGGAGGCAGCAGUAGGGAAUCUUCCACAAUGGACGCAAGUCUGAUGGAGCAACGCCGCGUGAGUGAAGAAGGCUUUCGGGUCGUAAAACUCUGUUGUUGGAGAAGAAUGGUCGGCAGAGUAACUGUUGCCGGCGUGACGGUAUCCAACCAGAAAGCCACGGCUAACUACGUGCCAGCAGCCGCGGUAAUACGUAGGUGGCAAGCGUUAUCCGGAUUUAUUGGGCGUAAAGCGAGCGCAGGCGGUUUUUUAAGUCUGAUGUGAAAGCCCUCGGCUUAACCGAGGAAGCGCAUCGGAAACUGGGAAACUUGAGUGCAGAAGAGGACAGUGGAACUCCAUGUGUAGCGGUGAAAUGCGUAGAUAUAUGGAAGAACACCAGUGGCGAAGGCGGCUGUCUGGUCUGUAACUGACGCUGAGGCUCGAAAGCAUGGGUAGCGAACAGGAUUAGAUACCCUGGUAGUCCAUGCCGUAAACGAUGAAUGCUAGGUGUUGGAGGGUUUCCGCCCUUCAGUGCCGCAGCUAACGCAUUAGAGCUAUGCCCCCGG
rnacentral:rRNA from 2 species